AUCGAACGCUGGCGGCAGGCCUAACACAUGCAAGUCGAGCGGAGCGGCGGACGGGUGAGUAAUGCCUAGGAAUCUGCCUGGUAGUGGGGGAUAACGUCAGGAACCGGGCGCUAAUACCGCAUACUAUCAGAUGAGCCUAGGUGGGAGUAGGUAGUUGGUGGGGUAAAGGCCUACCAAGGCGACGAUCCGUAACUGGUCUGAGAGGAUGAUCAGUCACACUGGAACUGAGACACGGUCCAGACUCCUACGGGAGGCAGCAGUGGGGAAUAUUGGACAAUGGGCGAAAGCCUGAUCCAGCCAUGCCGCGUGUGUGAAGAAGGUCUUCGGAUUGUAAAGCACUUUAAGUUGGGAGGCGUUACCGGCAGAAGAAGCACCGGCUAACUACGUGCCAGCAGCCGCGGUAAUUC
rnacentral:rRNA from 1 species